CCUACGGGGAGCAGCAGUCGAGAAUCAUUCACAAUGGGGGAAACCCUGAUGGUGCGACGCCGCGUGGGGGAAUGAAGGUCUUCGGAUUGUAAACCCCUGUCAUGUGGGAGCAAAUUAAAAAGAUAGUACCACAAGAGGAAGAGACGACUAACUCUGUGCCAGCAGCCGCGGUAAUACAGAGGUCUCAAGCGUUGUUCGGAAUCACUGGGCGUAAAGCGUGGGUAGGCUGUUUCGUAAGUCUGGUGUGAAAGGGGCGGGCUCAACCCGAGAACGGCACAUGAUACUGCGAGACUAGAGUAAUGGAGGGGGAAGCGGAAUUCGCGGUGUAGCAGUGAAAUGCGUAGAUAUCGAGAGGAACACUCGUGGCGAAGGCGGGUUCCUGGACAUUAACUGACGCUGAGGCACGAAGGCCAGGGGAGCGAAAGGGAUUAGAUACCCUUGUAGUC
rnacentral:rRNA from 1 species